rnacentral:rRNA from 1 species
AUGGUGCCUUCAGGGCAUGAGAACUUGCAGCCUUUGCCAUAUCCUGCUUUUCUUCCUCAAGCUCAGACCCCAGAUGUAGUUGCCACUGGGGUAGUCAUAGGGGCAUUGGACCAAGUGCGUCAUCCAGCGCCUGUACUGGGGACAAUUGAAGAGGGCACAUCACCCAUUCUGUCACCACCGUUGGAGGGCGGGUCAUUGCCACAGCUAGAGCCACAGAUGAAUUCUGUUACGGCACAUGUUGUGGACACCCCGACGCAUGUACCUACUACAGAUUGUGUUGCAGUUAACUCAGAGGGAACAGUUCUGCCACCGCCUGCAUUGCAGGCGAUGGUUACAAACAUGGACAGUGCAACUACAUCGCUCCCGCGAUUGGAGAAUGGAGCAGAGGGGUCAUUGCCCCAGCUAAGGCAGCAGUCAUCUUCUCCAAAUGUUCAGGCCGCACCUUGUUCAUUGGAUGCGGUGGAACUUCUGCCACCACCACCACCUCCUUUCGUUAACAAAGAAGUAGGUCAAAUGGUGUGUGGAAGCUGCCGUGAACUUAUUGCUUAUCCUAGAGGUGCUGUUCAUGUACAGUGUGCUGCCUGUGGGACAAUAAACCUAGUAUUGGAAGCACAUGAAGUUGGGAAUGUACACUGUGGACGAUGUGAGAUAUUGCUGAUGUAUCCUUUUGGGGCUCCUGCUGUUAAAUGUUCUUUGUGUCUUUUUGUCACUGAAAUUGGAGAGCGGAACGUUCGUCGUCGGAUAUCAGUCGAGCAGGUUACACCUCACCAACAAGAGCUGGCUAAUCAGAGUCCGGAGCCUCAAGGUGUAACGACACUUGAAGAAAAGGUGCUCGGCGGAUUCAUGCUCCCUUUUAUAAAGCGGGCGAAGGCCACGGUUUCCAAACAGACGGAGGUCCAAAUCCUAUUUCGGAUGGGUCUCGUCCUCCACCUCCUUGGAAAGGGUAACCCCGUGAAGAGCAUUCCACAAUGUGACAAACUGGCAAAGGUGCUCCAGGGUGAAGAUGGUCAUGAUGUUGAUUUUAUUGAUCCAGGCGCCAUUAUGUAA